rnacentral:rRNA from 1 species
GAUGAACGCUAGCGGCAGGCCUAAUACAUGCAAGUCGAACGAGAUUGAGGAGCUUGCUCCUCAUGAAAGUGGCGCACGGGUGCGUAACGCGUAUGCAAUCUACCUUAAUCAGGGGGAUAGCCCGGAGAAAUCCGGAUUAAUACCGCAUAACGUUAUUUUAUGGCAUCAUAGAAUAACCAAACAUUUAUGGGAUUAAGAUGAGCAUGCGUGACAUUAGUUAGUUGGUGAGGUAACGGCUCACCAAGACUACGAUGUCUAGGGGAUCUGAGAGGACGACCCCCCACACUGGUACUGAGACACGGACCAGACUCCUACGGGAGGCAGCAGUAAGGAAUAUGGUCAAUGGGCGCAAGCCUGAACCAGCCAUGCCGCGUGCAGGAAGACGGCCCUAUGGGUUGUAAACUGCUUUUAUUCGGGAAUAAACCUCUUUACGUGUAAGGAGCUGAAUGUACCGAAGGAAUAAGGAUCGGCUAACUCCGUGCCAGCAGCCG